rnacentral:rRNA from 1 species
GAUGAACGCUGGCGGCGUGCCUAAUACAUGCAAGUCGAGCGAACGGACGAGAAGCUUGCUUUUCUGAUGUUAGCGGCGGACGGGUGAGUAACACGUGGAUAACCUACCUAUAAGACUGGGAUAACUUCGGGAAACCGGAGCUAAUACCGGAUAAUAUUUUGAACCGCAUGGUUCAAAAGUGAAAGACGGUCUUGCUGUCACUUAUAGAUGGAUCCGCGCUGCAUUAGCUAGUUGGUAAGGUAACGGCUUACCAAGGCAACGAUGCAUAGCCGACCUGAGAGGGUGAUAGGCGACACUGGAACUGAGACACGGUCCAGACUCCUACGGGAGGCAGCAGUAGGGAAUCUUACGCAGAGGGCGAAAGCCUGACGGAGCAACGCCGCGUGAGUGAUGAAGGUCUUGGGAUCGUAAAACUCUGUUAUUAGGGAAGAACAUAUGUGUAAGUAAAUGUGCACAUCUUGACGGUACCUAAUCAGAAAGCCACGGCUAACUACGUG